GAUGAACGCUGGCGGCGUGCCUAAUACAUGCAAGUCGAGCGAACAGACGAGGAGCUUGCUCCUCUGACGUUAGCGGCGGACGGGUGAGUAACACGUGGAUAACCUACCUAUAAGACUGGGAUAACUUCGGGAAACCGGAGCUAAUACCGGAUAAUAUAUUGAACCGCAUGGUUCAAUAGUGAAAGACGGUUUUGCUGUCACUUAUAGAUGGAUCCGCGCCGCAUUAGCUAGUUGGUAAGGUAACGGCUUACCAAGGCAACGAUGCGUAGCCGACCUGAGAGGCGGAUCGGCCACACUGGAGCUGAGACGCGGUCCAGACUCCUACGGGAGGCAGCAGUAGGGAAUCUUCCGCAAUGGGCGAAAGCCUGACGGAGCAACGCCGCGUGAGUGAUGAAGGUCUUCGGAUCGUAAAACUCUGUUAUUAGGGAAGAACAAAUGUGUAAGUAACUAUGCACGUCUUGACGGUACCUAAUCAGAAAGCCACGGCUAACUACGUG
rnacentral:rRNA from 1 species